rnacentral:rRNA from 2 species
CUGAGAGGAUGACCAGCCACACUGGAACUGAGACACGGUCCAGACUCCUACGGGAGGCAGCAGUGGGGAAUAUUGCACAAUGGGCGCAAGCCUGAUGCAGCCAUGCCGCGUGUAUGAAGAAGGCCUUCGGGUUGUAAAGUACUUUCAGCGGGGAGGAAGGGAGUAAAGUUAAUACCUUUGCUCAUUGACGUUACCCGCAGAAGAAGCACCGGCUAACUCCGUGCCAGCAGCCGCGGUAAUACGGAGGGUGCAAGCGUUAAUCGGAAUUACUGGGCGUAAAGCGCACGCAGGCGGUUUGUUAAGUCAGAUGUGAAAUCCCCGGGCUCAACCUGGGAACUGCAUCUGAUACUGGCAAGCUUGAGUCUCGUAGAGGGGGGUAGAAUUCCAGGUGUAGCGGUGAAAUGCGUAGAGAUCUGGAGGAAUACCGGUGGCGAAGGCGGCCCC